GACGAACGCUGGCGGCGUGCUUAACACAUGCAAGUCGAACGGAAAGGCCCUGCUUUUGUGGGGUGCUCGAGUGGCGAACGGGUGAGUAACACGUGAGUAACCUGCCCUUGACUUUGGGAUAACUUCAGGAAACUGGGGCUAAUACCGGAUAGGAGCUCCUGCUGCAUGGUGGGGGUUGGAAAGUUUCGGCGGUUGGGGAUGGACUCGCGGCUUAUCAGCUUGUUGGUGGGGUAGUGGCUUACCAAGGCUUUGACGGGUAGCCGGCCUGAGAGGGUGACCGGCCACAUUGGGACUGAGAUACGGCCCAGACUGCAACGGGAGGCAGCAGUGGGGAAUAUUGCACAAUGGGCGGAAGCCUGAUGCAGAAACGCCGCGUGCGGGAUGACGGCCUUCGGGUUGUAAACAGCUUUCGCCUGUGACGAAGCGUGAGUGACGGUAAUGGGUAAAGAAGCACCGGCUAACUACGUG
rnacentral:rRNA from 1 species